CACAUCACGUUGAAACAACGUUUCCCGUACGAUUACCGAACUUAAGCAACGUCAAGCCUGGUCAGUACUUCGAUGGGUGACCGCUUGGGAAUACCAGGUGCUGUAA
rnacentral:rRNA from 1 species